UACGUAGGUGGCGAGCGUUGUUCGGAAUUACUGGGCGUAAAGGGCGCGUAGGCGGUCCCGUAAGUUCCGCGUGAAAUCCCCCGGCUCAACCGGGGAAUGGCGCGGAAAACUGCGGGGCUUGAGUUCGGGAGAGGGAAGCGGAAUUCCGGGUGUAGCGGUGAAAUGCGUAGAUAUCCGGAGGAACACCGGUGGCGAAGGCGGCUUCCUGGACCGACACUGACGCUGAGGCGCGAAAGCUAGGGGAGCAAACGGG
rnacentral:rRNA from 1 species